UCUGUGGGCUCCUGUGCGGCCCGAGCCUCCCCGACGAGCACCGCCCCCUGCUCCACGGCGCCCAGUCCCAUCGACCACCCAAAGGCUGAGGAGUGCGGGCGCGCGGCACGGGACUGGCAGGCAGCUCCACCUGUAGCCCAGGUGCGGGAUCCACUGGAGACUGAGACACUGGAUUGGUGCCUGAAACUGGUACACACAGUGGGAGGAACGGAUGAGAGCAAGCAUGGACAACCACAUCCCUUGCCAAGCAAGCAUCAGAGCUAGAAUGGCUGGUGAGGU
rnacentral:lncRNA from 10 species